UAUUUUUUUUUUAUUUUUUUUUUAUCAGUUGCAAAUUUACAUGCUUUUUGAUGUGGUUGUGUAUGACUGAAAUGUACUUGUUGAAUCUCGUGAAUUACUAGUUGUUUUAUAAUUUAAUUUGUUAGGUCCAUUAUGGUUCUUAAACCAAAAGUUCACCUUAUUUAUGAAGAUGUUUUGAUGAGUCAAGCUAAUGGGAGUUGAUUUAAUAAUUAUUUGUACUGUAUACAUUGCAAACAGUUCACCAAAAUUUGGAAUUUACUGCAAUAUAGCAUGUUGUUUUUCCUUUCCCUUGGGUUAAAGUUUAGUUUAUAUUUAUGAUUUAAUCCAAAAAGAGUUUCAUUUUAUCUCUUCUUAUACAUUGCAUCUUCUAUUCUUCUAAAUGUUCAUUUCUAUGUCAAUUGAGUACAAUUCAAAUAUCAAAUGUAACUAAAAAAAAUUCACAGAUAUUAAUAAAUUAAAUUGAGCAUAUCAUUAUAGAUUCAAAUAUAAGGAAUUAACAAGUGAAACCUUACCUGAAUGUAAAUUCAAUAAAGCUU
rnacentral:misc_RNA from 1 species